AGGGCACCACCAGGAGUGGAGCCUGCGGCUUAAUUUGACUCAACACGGGAAAUCUCACCAGGCCCGGACACCGGAAGGAUUGACAGAUUGAGAGCUCUUUCUUGAUUCGGUGGGUGGUGGUGCAUGGCCGUUCUUAGUUGGUGGAGCGAUUUGUCUGGUUAAUUCCGAUAACGGACGAGACUCUGGCCUACUAACUAGAUGGAGGAUCCCUUCGUGGGUUCUUCACUGCUUCUUAGAGGGACGGGCGGCGUUUAGCCGCACGAGAUUGAGCAAUAACAGGUCUGUGAUGCCCUUAGAUGUUCUGGGCUGCACGCGCGCUACACUGAAGGAAUCAGCGUGUCCUCCCCGCUCUGAAAAGAGUGGGUAACCCGUUGAAACUCCUUCGUGAUGGGGAUUGGAGAUUGUAAUUAUUCUCCAUGAACGAGGAAUUCCCAGUAGGCGCGAGUCAUCAGCUUGCGUCGAUUACGUCCCUGCCCUUUGUACACACCGCCCGUCGCUACUACCGAUCGAGUGAUUUAG
rnacentral:rRNA from 1 species